rnacentral:rRNA from 1 species
UUAAGUUAUUAAGGGCGCACGGUGGAUGCCUUGGCACUAGAAGCCGAUGAAGGACGUUACUAACGACGAUAUGCUUUGGGGAGCUGUAAGUAAGCUUUGAUCCAGAGAUUUCCGAAUGGGGAAACCCAGCAUGAGUUAUGUCAUGUUAUCGAUAUGUGAAUACAUAGCAUAUCAGAAGGCACACCCGGAGAACUGAAACAUCUUAGUACCCGGAGGAAGAGAAAGAAAAUUCGAUUCCCUUAGUAGCGGCGAGCGAAACGGGAAGAGCCCAAACCAACAAGCUUGCUUGUUGGGGUUGUAGGACACUCUAUACGGAGUUACAAAGGACGACAUUAGACGAAUCAUCUGGAAAGAUGAAUCAAAGAAGGUAAUAAUCCUGUAGUCGAAAAUGUUGUCUCUCUUGAGUGGAUCCUGAGUACGACGGAGCACGUGAAAUUCCGUCGGAAUCUGGGAGGACCAUCUCCUAAGGCUAAAUACUCUCUAGUGACCGAUAGUGAACCAGUACCGUGAGGGAAAGGUGAAAAGCACCCCGGAAGGGGAGUGAAAUAGAACCUGAAACCGUGUGCUUACAAGUAGUCAGAGCCCGUUAAUGGGUGAUGGCGUGCCUUUUGUAGAAUGAACCGGCGAGUUACGAUUUGAUGCAAGGUUAAGCAGUAAAUGUGGAGCCGUAGCGAAAGCGAGUCUGAAUAGGGCGUUUAGUAUUUGGUCGUAGACCCGAAACCAGGUGAUCUACCCUUGGUCAGGUUGAAGUUCAGGUAACACUGAAUGGAGGACCGAACCGACUUACGUUGAAAAGUGAGCGGAUGAACUGAGGGUAGCGGAGAAAUUCCAAUCGAACCUGGAGAUAGCUGGUUCUCUCCGAAAUAGCUUUAGGGCUAGCCUCAAGUGAUGAUUAUUGGAGGUAGAGCACUGUUUGGACGAGGGGCCCCUCUCGGGUUACCGAAUUCAGACAAACUCCGAAUGCCAAUUAAUUUAACUUGGGAGUCAGAACAUGGGUGAUAAGGUCCGUGUUCGAAAGGGAAACAGCCCAGACCACCAGCUAAGGUCCCAAAAUAUAUGUUAAGUGGAAAAGGAUGUGGCGUUGCCCAGACAACUAGGAUGUUGGCUUAGAAGCAGCCAUCAUUUAAAGAGUGCGUAAUAGCUCACUAGUCGAGUGACACUGCGCCGAAAAUGUACCGGGGCUAAACAUAUUACCGAAGCUGUGGAUUGUCCUUUGGACAAUGGUAGGAGAGCGUUCUAAGGGCGUUGAAGCAUGAUCGUAAGGACAUGUGGAGCGCUUAGAAGUGAGAAUGCCGGUGUGAGUAGCGAAAGACGGGUGAGAAUCCCGUCCACCGAUUGACUAAGGUUUCCAGAGGAAGGCUCGUCCGCUCUGGGUUAGUCGGGUCCUAAGCUGAGGCCGACAGGCGUAGGCGAUGGAUAACAGGUUGAUAUUCCUGUACCACCUAUAAUCGUUUUAAUCGAUGGGGGGACGCAGUAGGAUAGGCGAAGCGUGCGAUUGGAUUGCACGUCUAAGCAGUAAGGCUGAGUAUUAGGCAAAUCCGGUACUCGUUAAGGCUGAGCUGUGAUGGGGAGAAGACAUUGUGUCUUCGAGUCGUUGAUUUCACACUGCCGAGAAAAGCCUCUAGAUAGAAAAUAGGUGCCCGUACCGCAAACCGACACAGGUAGUCAAGAUGAGAAUUCUAAGGUGAGCGAGCGAACUCUCGUUAAGGAACUCGGCAAAAUGACCCCGUAACUUCGGGAGAAGGGGUGCUCUUUAGGGUUAACGCCCAGAAGAGCCGCAGUGAAUAGGCCCAAGCGACUGUUUAUCAAAAACACAGGUCUCUGCUAAACCGUAAGGUGAUGUAUAGGGGCUGACGCCUGCCCGGUGCUGGAAGGUUAAGAGGAGUGGUUAGCUUCUGCGAAGCUACGAAUCGAAGCCCCAGUAAACGGCGGCCGUAACUAUAACGGUCCUAAGGUAGCGAAAUUCCUUGUCGGGUAAGUUCCGACCCGCACGAAAGGCGUAACGAUUUGGGCACUGUCUCAACGAGAGACUCGGUGAAAUCAUAGUACCUGUGAAGAUGCAGGUUACCCGCGACAGGACGGAAAGACCCCGUGGAGCUUUACUGUAGCCUGAUAUUGAAAUUCGGCACAGCUUGUACAGGAUAGGUAGGAGCCUUUGAAACGUGAGCGCUAGCUUACGUGGAGGCGCUGGUGGGAUACUACCCUAGCUGUGUUGGCUUUCUAACCCGCACCACUUAUCGUGGUGGGAGACAGUGUCAGGCGGGCAGUUUGACUGGGGCGGUCGCCUCCUAAAAGGUAACGGAGGCGCUCAAAGGUUCCCUCAGAAUGGUUGGAAAUCAUUCAUAGAGUGUAAAGGCAUAAGGGAGCUUGACUGCGAGACCUACAAGUCGAGCAGGGUCGAAAGACGGACUUAGUGAUCCGGUGGUUCCGCAUGGAAGGGCCAUCGCUCAACGGAUAAAAGCUACCCCGGGGAUAACAGGCUUAUCUCCCCCAAGAGUUCACAUCGACGGGGAGGUUUUGGCACCUCGAUGUCGGCUCAUCGCAUCCUGGGGCUGUAGUCGGUCCCAAGGGUUGGGCUGUUCGCCCAUUAAAGCGGUACGCGAGCUGGGUUCAGAACGUCGUGAGACAGUUCGGUCCCUAUCCGUCGUGGGCGUAGGAAAUUUGAGAGGAGCUGUCCUUAGUACGAGAGGACCGGGAUGGACAUACCUCUGGUGUACCAGUUGUCGUGCCAACGGCAUAGCUGGGUAGCUAUGUGUGGACGGGAUAAGUGCUGAAAGCAUCUAAGCAUGAAGCCCCCCUCAAGAUGAGAUUUCCCAACUUCGGUUAUAAGAUCCCUCAAAGAUGAUGAGGUUAAUAGGUUCGAGGUGGAAGCAUGGUGACAUGUGGAGCUGACGAAUACUAAUCGAUCGAAGACUUAAUCAA